rnacentral:rRNA from 1 species
GAUGAACGCCGACAGAAUGCUUAACACAUGCAAGUCGAUGGGGAAGCGGCGCAUGCGCCGUGGCAACCAUGGCGGACGGGUGAGUAACGCGUAAAGAACUUGCCGGAUGGACCGGGAUAACAGCUGGAAACGGCUGGCAAGACCGGAUACUGUGGGCUGGCCGCAUGGCUGGCCCAUGAAAAGGGAUGCCGUCCGAGAGCUCUGCGUCCUAUUAGCUGGUUGGUAAGGUGACGGCUUACCAAGGCGAUGAUAGGUAGCCGGCCUGAGAGGGUGGACGGCCACAAGGGGACUGAGAUACGGCCCUUACUCCUACGGGAGGCAGCAGUGGGGAAUAUUGGACAAUGGGGGCAACCCUGAUCCAGCAAUUCUGUGUGCACGAAGAAGGUUUUCGGAUCGUAAAGUGCUUUCAGCAGGGAGGAAGGAAGUGACUGUACCUGCAGAAGAAGCGACGGCUAAAUACGUGCCAGCAGCCGCGGUAAUACGUAUGUCGCGAGCGUUAUCCGGAAUUAUUGGGCAUAAAGGGCAUCUAGGCGGCCGGGUAAGUCCGGGGUGAAAACUGCUGGCUCAACCAGCAGCCUGCCUUGGAAACUACCCGGCUUGAGUGCUGGAGAGGUGGACGGAACUGCACGAGUAGAGGUGAAAUUCGUAGAUAUGUGCAGGAAUGCCGAUGAUGAAGAUAGUUCACUGGACGGCAACUGACGCUGAAGUGCGAAAGCUAGGGGAGCGAACAGG